rnacentral:rRNA from 1 species
GAGUUUGAUCAUGGCUCAGAUUGAACGCUGGCGGCAUGCCUUACACAUGCAAGUCGAACGGCAGCACGGGAGCUUGCUCCUGGUGGCGAGUGGCGAACGGGUGAGUAAUGCAUCGGAACGUAUCCUGGAGUGGGGGAUAACGUAGCGAAAGUUACGCUAAUACCGCAUAUUCUGUGAGCAGGAAAGCGGGGGACCUUCGGGCCUCGCGCUCUUGGAGCGGCCGAUGUGGACCCUUAGCUAGUUGGUGAGGUAAAGGCUCACCAAGGCGACGAUCCGUAGCAGGUCUGAGAGGAUGAUCUGCCACACUGGAACUGAGACACGGUCCAGACUCCUACGGGAGGCAGCAGUGGGGAAUUUUGGACAAUGGGGGCAACCCUGAUCCAGCCAUGCCGCGUGAGUGAAGAAGGCCUCGGUUGUAAG